GUCAAUAUGUCUGAGUGGUUAAGGAGACAGACUUGAAAUCUGUUGGGCUAUGCUUGCGUAGGUUCGAAUUCUACUAUUGACG